rnacentral:rRNA from 1 species
UUGCAUAUUCCCAAAGCGGAGGAAAAGAAACCAACAGGGAUUGCCUCAGUAACGGCGAGUGAAGCGGCAAAAGCUCAAAUUUGAAAUCCCCCCGGGGAGUUGUAAUUUGAAGAUUGCGUCUUGGAGGCGACCGUGUCUAUGUUCCUUGGAACAGGACGUCACAGAGGGUGAGAAUCCCGUGCGGCACGGCCCCCGGCUCCUUAUAAGGCGCUCUCGACGAGUCGAGUUGUUUGGGAAUGCAGCUCAAAGUGGGUGGUAAAUUCCAUCUAAAGCUAAAUACAGGCGAGAGACCGAUAGCGAACAAGUACAGUGAUGGAAAGAUGAAAAGCACUUUGAAAAGAGAGUGAAACAGCACGUGAAAUUGUUGAAAGGGAAGGGCAUGCCGUCAGAUUGUCAGUGUGGGUAAGAAGCGGGGUACAAAGACUGUGGAACGUGGCCCUCGGGUGUUAUAGCCGCAGUUCAUGCCCCGUCUCUUUCCGAGGCCUGCUUUGAGGACACCGACGUAAUGACGGUACGCCGCCCGUCUUAAAAACCCGGAACCA